CUCGCCGUAGUUCAAUGGAUAGAACGAGUGCCUCCUAAGCGCUAGAUACAGGUUCGAUUCCUGUCGGCGGGA
rfam:Herbaspirillum sp. TSA66 contig01, whole genome shotgun sequence.